GUAAAGGCAAAAGAGAGCUUGAUUGCAAGACAUACAGGUCGAGCAAGGAUGAAAAUCGGACUUAGUGAUCCGGUGGUUCUGCGUGGAAGGGCCAUCGCUCAACGGAUAAAAGCUACCCUGGGGAUAACAGGCUUAUCUCCCCCAAGAGUCCACAUCGACGGGGAGGUUUGGCACCUCGAUGUCGGCUCAUCACAUCCUGGGGCUGUAGUAGGUCCCAAGGGUUGGGCUGUUCGCCCAUUAAAGUGGUACGCGAGCUGGGUUCAGAACGUCGUGAGACAGUUCGGUCCCUAUCCGUCGCAGGCGUAGGAAAUUUGAGAAGACCUGUCCUUAGUACGAGAGGACCGGGAUGGACGUACCUCUGGUGUACCAGUUGUUCUGCCAAGGGCAUGGCUGGGUAGCUAUGUACGGAAUGGAUAAGCGCUGAAAGCAUCUAAGCGCGAAGCCAACUUCAAGAUAAGAUUUCCCACCGCAAGGGUAAGACCCCAGAAAGACUAUCUGGUUGAUAGGUCGAAGGUGUAAGUGCAGCAAUGUAUUUAGCUUAUCGAUACUAAUAGGUCGAGGACUUGACCAA
rnacentral:rRNA from 1 species